AGCCUUGGGGUGUUACCACGCGGGAUUGCAAACCCCGAGAAGCAGCCUAAGCCCUGCCAAGGCUU
rnacentral:tRNA from 1 species